UCCUAAUCCAACACUCUAACCACUAUGCUAUGCUGGCUCGUGGCAUGCACAAUGGGCCCCUACAUGGUCGAGUCAUGACCCAGGCCAUGCAGGGGCCCAUUGCGCAUGUGCAGCAGCCUCCAAAAUGGCUAUGUGAGGGAGAAAGGUCCAGAAAGGGCCGAAGAACACACAAACCGGGCAAUUUUUGCCAUGAGGAAGUCUGGCGAGGGGAGGGGGAACCUCCAUGGACCACCAGCCUCAGAGAAGCCCUCUGGAAGGGAAUCCUUACACUAAUGAAAGCAAUAAUACAGACAUAUGCUGACAUGCAUUGCUCCCAAGGUGCCUUCUGAAGCAGCCAGGGGAUCCAAAGGAAGAACAGACAAGGUAUUUCAGUUUAUAUUCCCAGCUCAUCUAUUUCAAACAAAGAAAGAAAACCUUCAGAAGAUAUACUUUGGUUCUGAAGGCAUAGAAUAAAACAUAGCAGCAGCAAAUCUGAGACUCAGCAUUAAAGAAUGUGUACCCCCCACCCCUUGGAACAAUCUACAAUAGGAUAUACUCGACACUGAGAAGAUUUCCAAUAAAUCUGAGAAGGCAAAAGAGGUAGAAGAGGUCAGUGAAGCAUGUGGAGUUAUAAAAUGACCUCACAACACUCAGAAAGGAGAUCACCUCAGUGUUUAUUUUUAGAAGACAACAUUGUUCCUCGUUGAACUGUGAUGGUGUGUGUGGAGCAUUUUCCCUUGUUAAAUAUUGAUAAUAAAAAUGAUCCUUGAUUCAGUAAA